rnacentral:rRNA from 1 species
GAGUUUGAUCCUGGCUCAGGAUGAACGCUGGCGGCGUGCCUAAUACAUGCAAGUCGAGCGAACAGAUAAGGAGCUUGCUCCUUUGAAGUUAGCGGCGGACGGGUGAGUAACACGUGGGUAACCUACCUAUAAGACUGGGAUAACUUCGGGAAACCGGAGCUAAUACCGGAUAACAUUUAGAACCGCAUGGUUCUAAAGUGAAAGAUGGUUUUGCUAUCACUUAUAGAUGGACCCGCGCCGUAUUAGCUAGUUGGUAAGGUAACGGCUUACCAAGGCGACGAUACGUAGCCGACCUGAGAGGGUGAUCGGCCACACUGGAACUGAGACACGGUCCAGACUCCUACGGGAGGCAGCAGUAGGGAAUCUUCCGCAAUGGGCGAAAGCCUGACGGAGCAACGCCGCGUGAGUGAUGAAGGGUUUCGGAUCGUAAAACUCUGUUAUUAGGGAAGAACAAAUGUGUAAGUAACUGUGCACGUCUUGACGGUACCUAAUCAGAAAGCCACG